rnacentral:lncRNA from 1 species
CAGAAGAGAAGCGAAAGACAGAAAAGAAAGAAAAGAAAAGAAAGUUAUCCCAGUGGCGCUGAAAAGAGGAAUAGAAGGAGGACAGCAGAAAUAUUUACCGAAAGUUACUGUUUUUUUAAUUUUUUAUUUCCCCCACCGGGGCAGCGGCUACCGCAGGUUGAAGAGGGUCCGUCGUGUGGAAAUGACGAACAACUAGUGAGUAAUUUUUUUUCCUAUAUUGAGAAGUAAUCCAUUAAGUUAUGAAUGAACCCUUUACCUACUACGGCCAUGGCGCCGGUGCUGUGUUUUCUAUGCCCAGAGAAGAAUUUUUUUUUGCAGGAUGGUAGGGGAAGGUCCCGCCCACCUUCGCCUUUCAUUGGCGAGAAGUGAUGGUCUUCAAUUGGUUGUUCCUUAUGGCUGUGAAACGUCAUCGUCUGUCAGGUUAGGUUAAGGGUUAGGAUUAGAAGAUUCAGAAGUGCGAAAAAGUUCUGUAAUGUUCUGUAAUGUUCUGUUCAAUGUACAGAAUCGACAGCCCGCGUUUGGCUUGAGCAUGUGAUUUCUAGCUAAUCAGAGGCGAAGGAGGCGGGACUUUCCCCUACCAUCCUUGCUGUGCGGCGUAUAAUUACAAUAAUUCCUCAAAGUUUGUCUGAUCAGAAAAAUUUCAGCUGAGAGUUGUGGGCAUGCGUACAUGUAUGAUUUACUACGGUAGUCGUAACCUUAUGAGCUAGGCAUUCAUUGUAAAACACAGGAAGUAUCGGCAGAGCGCUACACAGAUUUUCAAUACAGUAACUCCUUGAAAGUUUCUCACUCUUAAAAAUUCCAAUGCUGACAGAAAGCCAAGAAUCUGUGCUUUCUGUCAAUAUAUUAUGUAUGGCACAUAUUGCGGUAAUCUUGAACAGUACCACCAAAACUGCAAAAUAGUGUAUUUUUUGUAGAAAUAUAGUAGUAAAUGGUAUUAAAUAGGGGAGAGUGGGGUAAGUUGAGCCACCCCCUGUUGCUUGGAAAUGGUAAAAAAAAUUGAUCAUGUGACCAAAUAUUUAGGAGAUGGGCAUCAAUUCAUGGAGUCUGUGAAUGUUAGAAGCACAUUGGUGAAGGGGUUAGACAUUUAUUUACAAAAAAAAAAAAAAACAUUUUUCCCAUUUUUAGUCUGUCUUAAGUUUUAUUAUAAUUGUGUCCAGACCAAAAAAGAUCAUUUUAAAUUUGUUUUAUACAUCAAUUGUGGUAUCUAUGAGCUACAACAUGAGGUCAAAAACCUAGCAUAAAAGUCCACCAUUUUAGUUUAGAGGACUAAUAAAGUCAUAACAGUAGUUCAACUGAGCCAGUGGCUCAACUGAAAGUAAAGGAGUCUGAUGAGAGGAUCAGAGUUUCAGUUCAACUUGUUGAAAUGUUACUUUUUCUUUUCAAAAAUACAGCUGUGAAUGUUCUGAAUCACUUACAGGCAUUCUCAUGUUAAAAUGUUUUCUUUGUUGUUGUUGUUGUUGUUGCAAAACAGCUUUUUAGAAGUUAUUUACAAUAAUAAUAAAAAUAAUUGAAUAGUGUAUAGUAGAUAAAAAAUACACAUGAAUUUGAAGAAGUGACUGUUAUUUAGGAAGAGAGAAGGUGAAGGAGGGCUGGGGUGGAGAGUGUGUGCGUGUGUGUGUGUGUGUGUGUGUGGGGAUUGCAGGGAUACGGCUCAACGUACCUAGCUGACCACUUUUUUUGGCAUGAUAUAUUAUCAAGACAGAUAUGUUUACACUCAUUCUGUUGGUUUCCAGGGAUGCACAACAUCUUGAAAUAUAUGCAGAUUGACUAGUUAAGACAAAAGACAAAACUAUGGUUGACUUGAUGUAGUGAUCCGAAAUAUGAAAAAUGGCUCAUCUUACCCCACUCCCCACUAUAUAGUAAUGUAUGAAAUGGCCGCUAUGGUACGAAGAAGAGGAGGAGAGCUAUUUGGAGGAGAGUGAUUUGAAUGAUGCUUCUUCUGAACUGAGGUAUGUUCAGAAGAAACAAAUUGUGCAUCACUUGCACACCUAAAAAGACUGUUUCUGAUUCUAAACAUGUAUAGGUUGACUUUUCAAAUGUGAAAUCAAAAACUUCUUGAGUAAUUACAAAAUUUGUUCUCAUUCAAGCCAUGAAAAACAAAUUAAUUUUUGUGUUUACUUCUUUUAGACAGCUGACAAUUCCAUAUAAUGUGCAAUAGUCACUAAUCAGAUGUUGAAAAGUGAAGUUCAAGUACUCUUAGAAAAAGGGACCAAAGCUCUCAGACUUAGGGCAUUUUCUGACCAUUUCACAGCUGUGAUAACAAAAUAUCUCCAAAUUUGCAUUUGUAGCCCUAGUAGGUUACAAAGUAUGUAACUAAGAGAAGUACUCACUCUGCAUUAAAUGAUUCAUGUCAGUGUUAUAGCUUUGAAUUAAUAUUGCUUUAAUGUGCGUUUUUUGUAAUUGAGAUUUUUUUUAUUUCCCUGGAUUAAAGGGCAAAUAAAUAAUAAAAAAUACUAAAAUGAAAAAAACAAACAUAUGCAUCAGCUAUCAGACAAAUUGUCAUUUUAAACAUCAAUAUUGGCCAGGAAUUUCACAAUCGGUGCAUCCCGAGAAUAAAAAGAUGCAGAGGGCCCCAUGCCUGCCUUUACCUAGGGCUCCCAAUUUCUUAAGUCCGCCCCUGUAUUUAAAUAUAUGACUUUUUCAUUAUAUGACUGUAUGGCUAAAAUGUGUGAAAUGCUGGGCAGAUAUGUGUUUUGAAUUGAGACCAUCUCCUCCAAAUUAAGGGAAAGAAAAAAAGGAAAAAUUGGAUCCAAGUUGUUCACAAUUCACCAACAUGGUCCCACUCCACCAAUGUUAUUACAAUGUCAACUUUAUCCAUCAUAGCUCCUUGUUCUUCCUCAGUACCCUUGAACACCUCUAGGAGAUCCUCCUAAUGAUAAUCUCUUUGAUUCAUGCCUCCACCAUCAUGUAUCUUAACAUUUCAAUGGAAAACAACAAAAAUUAUGCAAAUGGUAGGCUUAAAGUCUCUGAUAUGCUCCUGUUACGCUCCACUUAGGCAUUAAAACCUCAGUCACCAGGGAGGGGAUGAAGUGAUUUUGAUUUAAUUGUGUAUUAAAGGUGUUAUUUUUCUAUUUAGAAAGAUAAGCAGGGUUAUAAGUUUAUGUCUUUGUGAUGUGCUGCUGUAUUAUUUUGUAUGAUCACUGCAGGUUACAUCAGUAUAAACCAUGAGGUGUUUGAGGCACAUGGUACGAGGAUGGCAGCCCCGUGUGCCGUGAUGCAUCCUCCAUGUGUGGUACGCUUGGUCACUCAGGAUGAGAAUGAACGUCCUUACACACGUGCACACUUGCACAUACACACACAGUGGUCUGUGCAUGCAUUAUAAUGUCAGC